UGGCAGAGGACUUCACAGUGGUAUAGGGGAGCAAGCAUCACUUUACUGGGGGAGGGUACAGGGGGGUCUUUAUCAUCACCAGCAUCAUCUUGUUCAUGCAAAGGUCAUUAUAGGAAACAUACAAAGGCCCUAAUGUGUUUGAAGAAGUUUGAGAAAAAUGAUGUGACAGUUCAUGGUUGUGUUAGGGUUACACAGAGAAAUAGAACCAAUAGGAGAUACAUAUCUAUCUAGAUAUAU
rnacentral:lncRNA from 1 species